rnacentral:rRNA from 1 species
UAAUACGGGGGGGGCAAGCGUUGUUCGGAAUUACUGGGCGUAAAGAGCGUGUAGGCGGUCCUGCAAGUCAGGCGUGAAAUCCCUAGGCUCAACCGAGGAACUGCGUUUGAUACUGCAGGACUAGAGCAUGGUAGGGGAGAGUGGAAUUCCCAGUGUAGCGGUGAAAUGCGUAGAUAUUGGGAAGAACACCGGUGGCGAAGGCGGCUCUCUGGGCCAUUGCUGACGCUGAGACGCGAAAGCCAGGGGAGCAAACGGGAUUAGAUACCCCGGUAGUCCUGGCCGUAAACGAUGGGCACUAGGUGUAGGGAGUGUCGACCCUCCAGUGCCGUAGUUAACGCGUUAAGUGCCCCGCCUGGGGAGUACGAUCGCAAGAUUG